AACGAACGCUGGCGGCAGGCUUAACACAUGCAAGUCGAACGCCCCGCAAGGGGAGUGGCAGACGGGUGAGUAACGCGUGGGAACAGACCCAUUUCUACGGAAUAGCUCUGGGAAACUGGAAUUAAUACCGAAUACGCCCUACGGGGGAAAGAUUUAUCGGGGAAGGAUUGGCCCGCGUUGGAUUAGCUAGUUGGUGGGGUAAAGGCCUACCAAGGCGACGAUCCAUAGCUGGUCUGAGAGGAUGAUCAGCCACAUUGGGACUGAGACACGGCCCAAACUCCUACGGGAGGCAGCAGUGGGGAAUAUUGGACAAUGGGCGCAAGCCUGAUCCCGCCAUGCCGCGUGAGUGAUGAAGGCCUUAGGGUUGUAAAGCUCUUUCACCGAUGAAGAUAAUGACGGUAGUCGGAGAAGAAGCCCCGGCUAACUUCGUG
rnacentral:rRNA from 1 species